UACGAAGGGGGGCUAGCGUUGUUCGGAAUUACUGGGCGUAAAGCGUGCGCAGGCGGCCUUCCAAGUCAGGGGUGAAAGCCCAGGGCUUAACCCUGGAAUUGCCUUUAAGACUGCAUCGCUAGAAUCGUGGAGAGGUGAGUGGAAUUCCGAGUGUAGAGGUGAAAUUCGUAGAUAUUCGGAAGAACACCAGUGGCGAAGGCGACUCACUGGACACGUAUUGACGCUGAGGUGCGAAAGCGUGGGGAGCAAACAGG
rnacentral:rRNA from 1 species